rnacentral:lncRNA from 1 species
UUUGUCAUGGUUUUAUGAUUUUCGGUCAUUGGUACUCCAAAUCAUAACAUCGUGUAGUGAAUGAACCUGGUUCUCAGAAGAGAAGGACUACUACAGUCCCCAUGGUACUUUGCUCCUCUGUUACCAUUUCCAGCCGGAGGGAAAAGAUAAAAGCUCACAGUAUAAAAACUUGCAGGUCACAAGACCUCGCCCCUUUUUCCACCCGUCUCUCGUUUUGGCAGCACCUCGCUCUCCAGCCGUCUUAUCGUCGGUAGUAGAGUAAGGCCUACCUUGAUUUUGGGACAUUCUCUCUCUCUGUAUUGGAUUUNGAGGCUCGCUUCCCUGGAGGCAUACAGGUCUCCCUCAGCCACCCGUCUCCAGCUGGUGGGGACCUUGGGUGCUGGCAGGCAGCGGCUAGGCAGCAGGCUAGGUCCGCCUGCUGUGGAGCUGCUGCAUCCUGCGGUGCCUCUGUGGGAAAUGUGGGAGUGGUGGGGCCAGCGUCUGGCAGCUGUGUCUGUCUCGGGGCUGGGCGGAAGAGCUCUCGCGUGCCCCUUGCCCACUUUGACAGCGUCUCUCUGGGACUUGCAGGACUUGCUGAAGGAGUAUUACUUGGGCACCCCUGUAUCCCCAGUGCCCCUCCACGUGGUUCUGGCCCUGGAGCAGUUGAGGUAAGGGUGGGGAGCUCUGGGGUUGCAAGGCAGGAUGGUGGGCCUCCUUUUGGGUAGCUCCCAAAGGCCUGGAGGGGGCAAGGGGUGCGGAGCCGCAUCUACAGGAGAGAUGGCUGGGCUGCCGUGCCCAGCGCAGCUGAGGUUCUGGGCAGGGAGAAAGGCCUUGGUGCUCCUGUCCCCUGCCAGGGAAGAGAAGGGAGACCUGGGGUCUCCUUCCCUUCAGAGCGGGAGGUGAUUCACUGUGAGGCAGGCGCUGCUGAAACGGAAGACAGUGCUCAGCGGCACGGGCUGGGGGUGUUGGCUUUGCAGCUGUCGAGUAGGAGAAACUCAGAUGUGCUCUGAACCAGAGUGGAGAGCGCUGGUAAAGGCCCUUUCUGCUUUCUCUUCCUUUUUUCCUCCUGCCAGCAAGCUGAAGCCCUCUUUUGGAAGCGAGGACAUGCAUGACAUCCUGACUCUGUGCUGGAAGAUCACUGUGACGCACCCUUCAGCGGAGAUGAUGCUGAAGAUCAGCAAGUCACAGCAAGCAGCUCGGUACCUGCAGCUUCUGAAAACAACUGUGAGAGCUCUGGGCCGGCUGAUGGCAGUCCUGCUCGAGACAGAGCACAGGCAUGGCUUCUUCCAGAACAUAGUCCAUGUGAGUAUGUGUGGGGCGAGGGAGAAAGCGUCGCUCCUGCCGAGAGCGGGGACAGAGCUCCGGGGCCAGAGAGGACGAUCAGAGGGGGAGAAAUCUCCUGCUGACGUGGCAGCUCACUGCGAGCUGAGAAACGGGCAGAGAAAUGGGCCCUGCAGGGGGAAAGGCAGGAGCCAGCCCCUGGCAGGCCGCAGCUGAGAACAAGCUCCUGGGUUAGGAGGCAGGUGUGUCUGCAGAGAGCGGGGGCAGCAGUGCCGCUGCUCGCGGAGGCGGGGGGCCGCGUGGAGCCACAGGGCAGGCCCUGAGGGAAAGAAAGAAAGAAA